rnacentral:rRNA from 1 species
CAGCAGUCGCGAAAACUUCACAAUGGGGGCAACCCCGAUGAGGGAAUUCCUAGUGCUAGCACUUUUUGUGUUAGCUUUUCUUUAGCGUAGAUAACUAAAGGAAUAAGGGCUGGGUAAGACGGGUGCCAGCCGCCGCGGUAAUACCCGCAGCCCAAGUGGUGGUCGAUUUUAUUGAGUCUAAAACGUUCGUAGCCGGUCUGAUAAAUCCUUGGGUAAAUCGGAAAGCUUAACUUUCCGAAUUCCGAGGAGACUGUCAGACUUGGGACCGGGAGAGGCUAGAGGUACUUCUGGGGUAGGGGUAAAAUCCUGUAAUCCUAGAAGGACCACCGGUGACGAAGGCGUCUAGCUAGAACGGAUCCGACGGUGAGGGACGAAGCCCUGGGUCGCAAACGGGAUUAGAUACCCCGGUAGUCCAGGGUGUAAACGCUGCAGACUUGGUGUUGGAGACCCUUCGAGGGUAUUCAGUGCCGGAGAGAAGUUGUU